AGAUGGCACACAUGGAAAAGAUAUCUGUUAUGCUGACUUAGAUAAUAACCAUAAACAAACAGCUUCUUCUUCACCAGUCAAUAAUAAUGGUGAAGGUUCUGUUACCUAUGCUGAUGUAAAAAAUAAAUCCAACAGAACUUCCCAGAAUUACGGGGAACCUGAUGCUUCCAUCUAUAAGAACUUCAGUGCCAAAUAGCUUCAUGCACAAUCAUGGCAAAACCACUAGCACUUUUGGACAUCCAUGGCCCAGUAGCCAGUUCUUUCAGUUGACUCAAAAGAGAAAAAUGAACUUAAUCAUUGAAUAAUAAGAACUUCCCAGUUCCUUCUGUUCUCUCUGACUAUGUAGAAACAUGGAAAUAAAGAAAUCUA